CCCGUGCUACAACCGCUCAGAACAGGUUUUAAGUUCACUUGAACACCUGUGAUGGCGAGUCUUAGUUUUUAG
rnacentral:sRNA from 1 species